UAUAUGUAAUUUCCUCAGCUACGCAACUCUAUUACAGAUACCGCUGUGGCGAGGUCCCCGGAAGAUAAGGCUGAGUGUGCGUCGAAGCUUGCAGACCACCAAGACGUGAUGAUUAGCGUUUGAGGACAUCACACCACAAGUAACUUGUGGGGAUCAGAAAUAACUUACUCCCAAGCUACAGCUCGUGGACCCCAGAAGUGCACACCAAUAGCAACAUACAGAACAGCAGUCACAAGCAAAGAAGACAUCUGUCUGGUGUCCCAGUACUGGUGGGGCAGUGCCCCAGCACACUCUAUUGACCAGCCGCCUCUGAUGUCUAGUAAGUAUGGUGUGUUUGCAUUUGUACAUAGUAUAUAAUAUCUAUUUAGUAGACAUAUGGCAGCACGGUCUACAACUGGUUAGCACAUCUGCCUCAUAGUUCUGAGG